AUUUAAGGUACCAUAUUUCAUCGAAUCUAAGAUGUCAUAGAUUAUUUUUAAAAAGUGCUAUUACAUUAUAUACCUCUAAGAAGGGAAAAACACUCAGGACAGGGAGUUUAGUAGGAGACCUAACCCACAAGGCUGGUACACCUAGUAGUGUUUGAAAUUAAUCUGAGGGUUUUUGCUGAUACCAAAAUAUUAGGAAAGGUUUUCCAAAAAUAAUACUGCUUAUUAUAAAGAAUUUUAUGUGUUACUUGAUGCCCUGUGAUCCAUUUUCUCAGUAAGAAGAGGAACUUCUCGGCUGGGCGCAGCAGCUCAUGCCUGUAAUCCCAGCACUUUGGGAGGCCGAGGCAGGUGGAUCACAAGGUCAGGAGUUCACAAAAUAAUGAAUAAUCAGUAGGAGCAAAAUGAUGUGUCACAAGCAUGUUUAGUGAGUGAACAUAAAAAUUAUAUAAUUUAUAGUUUCACUUACAUAAAUGGUGAAAACAGACAAAACUAACCUUUUGUGGAAAGAAUCAAAACCGUGGAAGCCUCUGUGUUCAAAUACUGACUGGAAAUGGGCAGGAGAAAACAUGUUUCUGCCAGAUCUUCUAUAUGCCUGAUGUGCAUUCACUCGAUGUAUUUUGCGUAUACUAUUUUUGCAAAUAAAACUGAGAUAAAGGCAAAAUAACUCAAGAGAAAAUAGGUAGAAAUAGGUAGAGUUGGGAUAGAAGCCUUGGAAGCUACCCCCGUACCUUGCCCACCUGGCACAGGCCGAGGAAGUCCUGGGACAAUGCUGUGAGCGACCUGAGGGCCGUCCAGGGGAGCCCCGCCAGCCCAUGCUGGCGCCCGAGCUGCCCGCCGCCAUCUGAAUAUGUUGCAAAGACAGUGCUGGCCUGGCAACCGGUGACGCUCCACGCCCCACCUCGACCCCCACUUCUACCCAAGUAGUGGCAACGCUAGAGACAGAUGCCUGGGCGGCAGCGG
rnacentral:lncRNA from 1 species